AUUGAACGCUGGCGGCAGGCCUAACACAUGCAAGUCGAAUGGUAACAGGAAACAGCUUGCUGUUUCGCUGACGAGUGGCGGACGGGUGAGUAAUGUCUGGGAAACUGCCUGAUGGAGGGGGAUAACUACUGGAAACGGUAGCUAAUACCGCAUAACGUCGCAAGACCAAAGAGGGGUACCUUCGGGCCUCUUGCCAUCAGAUUUGCCCAGAUGGGAUUAGCUAGUAGGUGGGGUAACGGCUCACCUAGGCGACGAUCCCUAGCUGGUCUGAGAGGAUGACCAGCCACACUGGAACUGAGACACGGUCCAGACUCCUACGGGAGGCAGCAGUGGGGAAUAUUGCACAAUGGGCGCAAGCCUGAUGCAGCCAUGCCGCGUGUAUGAAGAAGGCCUUCGGGUUGUAAAGUACUUUCAGCGGGGAGGAAGGGAGUAAAGUUAAUACCUUUGCUCAUUGACGUUACCCGCAGAAGAAGCACCGGCUAACUCCGUG
rnacentral:rRNA from 1 species